GAUGAAGAACGUAGUGAAAUGCGAUAAGUAAUGUGAAUUGCAGAAUUCCGUUAAUCAUCGAAUCUUUGAACGCACAUUGCGCCCCCUGGCAUUCCGGGGGGCAUGCCUGGCCGAGCGUCAUUUCUGCCCUCCAGCCCGGCUGGGUGUUGGGCGCUGUCCCCCCGGGGACACGCCCCAAAGGCAGUGGCGGCGCCGCGUCGGGUCCUCGAGCGUAUGGGGCUUUGUCACCCGCUCGGGACGGACUCGUCGGCGCUGGUCUUCCUCCAGGCGACCCUUCGGGGCUCGUCUUCAUUCGGUUGACCUCGGAUCAGGUAGGGUUACCCGCUGAACUUAAGCAUAUCAAUAAGCGGAGGA
rnacentral:misc_RNA from 1 species